GACGAACGCUGGCGGCGUGCUUAACACAUGCAAGUCGAACGGAAAGGCCCUGCUUUUGUGGGGUGCUCGAGUGGCGAACGGGUGAGUAACACGUGAGUAACCUGCCCUUGACUUUGGGAUAACUUCAGGAAACUGGGGCUAAUACCGGAUAGGAGCUCCUGCUGCAUGGUGGGGGUUGGAAAGUUUCGGCGGUUGGGGAUGGACUCGCGGCUUAUCAGCUUGUUGGUUGGGUAGUGGCUUACCAAGGCUUUGACGGGUAGCCGGCCUGAGAGGGUGACCGGCCACAUUGGGACUGAAAUGAGGCCCGGACUCCUACGGGAGGCAGGGGUGGGGAAGGUUGCACAAGGGGAGGAAGCCUGAUGCAGCAACGCCGCGUGCGGGAAGACGGCCUGGGGGUUGGAAACCAAUGUCGCCUGUGACGAGGCGUGAGUGACGGUAACGGGAAAAGAAGCACCGGCUAACUACGUG
rnacentral:rRNA from 1 species